GAAGCAAUAAAAAUCCAUCGUCAUAUGCCAGAAGUCCCUGGAUCGGCUGAUGACGACCAGAGAACUUUAGACUCGGCCGAUCAGGUUAGGCGGCGAGCGAUUGCGGCUAUUAAUGCUCUCCUUGGAUGAAUUGUAAAAGUAUUGGCCGCUCUGUAAAAACAUUAAUGUCUUUUAACUGUUGACACGUGGAUCCAAUCCUGACCCGUCCUUCGUGGCAGUCUUUCAUUUAUUAUCCCUUUCACUCCGAUGGGACGCGUCUUACCAAACUCUCGCCCCUUUUCCUUCUAUAAGUAUGCGGCCCUGUAUUAUUUCCAAGGGCAUUCGCGUCGUUCGUCCUCUUCUCCUCUAGUAGUUCAUACCGUCAGACUAUCCACCAAGAUGUCUUCUUCGUCUUCCUCCUUCUCCUCCUUUUCCGUCAACCAGGUAUGAAAUCUUCCUCCAUCCUCCAUUCCCC
rnacentral:lncRNA from 1 species